CGAAAGUUUGUACUUUCUAUGUUUCUUCCGAAUACCAAGAGGUCCAUAACACAUCGUAUGGCUUUAAUUGCGAGCAUAGAAUCUAAACUUUAGAUUUUCAUUCUGCUUGAUUUCCCGUCUUUUUACUUGAUGAUGAGGAUCAAGCCACCAAUGAACCAAUAAAUUUGCUCGGUUUGACAAGGAGUGGAAAAGAGACAAAAUCUCAUAUCAAAUACCAAGAUUUGGAAGGGAAAACAAUGUAAAAGAGAUGUAAGCAUGAUUGGCGCGGCGGUCGUGGUUCGUGGUACUACUCGCUAGUUGCUCUUUCUCAUUUUAUUUUGGUUCAUCUCUUGUGCUUUAGAAGUUCCAAGGUAUAAAGUAAUUAUAUAUGAAAUAUAUUCAUGUAAGCUUUUUCUCUAUAAAGUUAUUAAACCUUAGCUUAUAAAUAUUUAUAUUUUUAAGAAAGAAAGAAAGAUGUGUAACCAUGUUAAAUUACAUCUCCUAAAGAGAGCAUAUCAUUUCUAACGAGAAUCAAACAUAUGACCAUUUGUACACUGUCAACUUUUCGUUGGAUACAAUUUCACUGUUAUGAUAAAGAAGAUAAAAAGAAACGUAUCUUUUAGCAAUUAUAGUUAAGAGGUUUCAACGAAUUAUUUUAUCAUACCGGAUUAUGGAUAUUAAUUAUUUUCCUUUUCCAUUAUUCUCAGUUAUUUUGUAUUUCCAUUUAAUCAAACUUUUUACCAUCAUAUUUUUGUAGAAAACAAAUCUUUCCUUGACGAUAUUUUGUAUAGUCUGUUUGUACCGAGUUUUGGGUGUUUAGCCGAUUUACAAAUAGGAAAAGAAGCAGUGAAAAAAAAAUGGUGAAAGCAAGUUCACCGGAAAAGUACAAGUCGGCGAGAAGAAGAAGUAAAACCCUAAUUCUAGCCACCAAGAGUCUGUGUAAUUGAUUUCAGAUUGUUUUCUCAGCGUUCUUUUGUUUCUUUCUAUAGUUGAUUUUCGCCAGUGAUUACCCUAGGUCGCUCUAUUUCAUGGGCCUCGGCACGUUGGGCUGAGCGAUUAGGCCGUCGGGCUUGAGCCGCUAAGUCGGUAUACUUUUAGUCGCUUGCGUCACUCGGGUAAAAGUAGUCACAAGCCGAGCUGUUUUUUUGUCGCGUGGCUCCGAGAGCUGAGCUAACACCGAAUUAUAUAUAAUGGGCCGGAUAUGCUAUCUGAUGGGCCUGAUGAAAGGAAGUAAUCCACCUCCUAUAGUACCUUCUAUCUGAUGGGUCCAAUAGAAAGAUGUAAUCCACUUCCUACAUAGUCUUUUUUUUUUUUUCGCUGAAUGAUUUCAGAUGGCGUUGAGUGAAAAGAUUGAAUAUCUAAGUUAAGAACUUAAGAUAUUGAGCGUGUGACUAAACGAACAACAGCUGCGUAUAAGCAUCCGAAUUAUUGUAUCUUUCCACAAAGGAAUUAAGAACUCUGCAAUAUAGCUUUAGUCUUUAGGCUUAUGCAGGAUUCGAACUUUAUAUCAAGAGACUCAAUAUUGACAAAGUCCACACGGACUUUUACGUUUUACCACGACUUCAAAUGUCAUAUAACAUGCAUACUUCAUAAAAUAGUUAAUACGCUAAUAACAGUCACUUGAACUGCAUGCUAUUGUAUUCCUCGUACGUUUCACACAUAUGAUAUUUCUUGAUAACUACGUACGUUACGCACGUUGUGAAAUUGUCAUUAAACUUACUCUAUACGAUAAACAUAUCGCCAAUAGGAAUAAUCUAUAUGCGCUUACGUUGAAGCAAGGUUGUUUCUUUUGUUUGGUCGGAGGCUGAUGAUGUCGACGUAUGCUACUAUCAUAUGAUCGACCAUCUAUCUAGCUACUCCUUGUGGGCAAUAAAACAUAAAAUAAUAUACGAUUAGUUAUUUUAUAAAUGGUAUGCCAGUCUUUCCGCAAAGUCAACGGCUUCUCUAAUCCAAUACAAGAAAAUAUAAUAUUUAUUAACACUAAUCAGGUUUCUUAUUUUAUAUACUUCACUAAAACUUCCCUUUCAUCCACAUUAUCAUCAACUAUUAUAUGAUUUAAACCGACAUUAAUCCAACUAAACUGAAAUUAAAAAUUCACAUAUCUAACAAAUUAUAUGAUAUAAUAGUCCAAACUGCCCCCUACAAGAUGUCAACCGAUUCAGAUGGAUACAUAACUUACGUAUACACAAAUGGUUUUAUUAGCUUUGAAAUUCACAGUCAUUGCUGACCAAAAUAAAGAAAACCAUGCACUCUUUAGAUAUAAACAUAUACAGCGAAACACACAUCUCUAUCUAUGAAUAUAAUCAAUCAUCAAUUCUUGAAUUGACAAAAGAUUUAAAUUCUCAUGCAUGCGUGCCUAAAACUGUACGGGCAAAUAUCGAUGAUCUUGUAUGUGAAUUAUCUAAGUUUGUAAUAACGGCACCCAGCAAAUUUGAAAAACCUACAAUGACAAGGCAAGCAAAAAAAGAGCGUAUGGCGAGAUAUUAAUUAUUACCAAAAGUUGGAAAAAAAGAGAUUAAUUAUUAGAAAAACUUGAGAAAUAAAAUUUGAUAAAUGACAAAGAAACGUUGGACAGAGCCUCCACUUGGCUUCGCCACAACUCAACGCCACGGUGCACACAUCAUCCGGAACUGUAUCUAAUUAAUGUUAAACCAGUGGCUGUAAUCAUGAUUAAGUGCCGUAGGUCUUGUCUCUUGUGGAAAUAUAUAGAUUAUAGUCUUAAGUUCGUUUGAUAUAAUAUAUAUAAUAAUACAAAUACAUCCAAAAAGUGUAGCGCUAAAACUGAACUCAUAGAAUAAUCAUUGCUUAUAUUAAACAAGUCAGUGAUCUGAUGUAUCAAAAUAUCAAAUUAUAUAAAAAUAUUCCAUAGGUACUUUAAUUAAAAUCACAAUAAAAUGGCCAUUUUUUCUUUUAAUAUAAAUACUAAAACCCGUAAAUGGGUAAUCGAAAACAGUAACAUAAUGGCAGUGCUAUAUUACAGGAAGUAAAGCAAAAGGGAACCAACAACAAUAACAUAAAGAGGAAUUGACAAAAAAAAACAAGUAAAAGAGAAAAAAUCAAGAGGGGAGGGGGGAGGAAAGGAAGACUAUGGAGGCAAGCCUCCUCUUCCGAUAAAUAUCGGCGGUAGUAGAUUCAAAUGUUUCAGAUUUCACUAAGGCCGGAGUGUCCAAACCCGCCUUUAGAUCCGUUUUCGUUAUAUCAUCAUAGAAAUCAUUUUGGAGGCGUUCCGCGGCCACCGACACCGUAUUCUAAAAAAAAAAGACUCCUGAAACCCCAACUGCCAUAAGUCGCCAUAGAGUAUCGCUGCUUCACAGUUCGAGCGACCACAUGCUUACCAUAAAUUUAUAACCAUUAUACGAGUCAUACAAAAUGUUAAUAAUGUUUAAAAUCGCAACCAUCCAAAUCUGUAAACUAUGGCAACUGCAUCUCCAACCGUUAUGUUUACACCGGUCAGAUCUUAAAUGGUAAAAGUUUCAACAAAAUUUCUAAUUAAACAUUUUUUGUGUUACUGUGAAUUCAAAUUAGUUUAUUAAACAUACCAUCACCGCUAGAACUGUCACCAAAAAGAAUUGUCUCCAACAAUAAAGAUGCUGCUCUUUUGGAAUAUACUAACGUUAAUAAUCAAGGAGAUUAUAUGUACUGCUCCACAGAAACAACAUGCACUAUAGAAAAAAAAAGAAUAACGUAAUAAUACUUGUGAUGUAUAUUUCACAUAUUGCUUAUUCGAUUUUCAUUAUAUAGCUUUAAAAAGAAUGAUACGUCGGGUCUUGUAAUUUAUUAAAGUUGAGAACGGGGUUUAGCUACCAAAUGAUGUAUUUUUUUUGUCAGCACCAAAUGAUGUAAUAGAAAAUAAAAAAAGGAAAAACAUGUUGUGGACAUGGAAACUCGGUUGAAGGUACGUUUCACGUUUCGGAAACGUUUCAGAAUCGGAAUCUCUCGGAAACUUGCAGAAACGCAUUGGAAACUCGUUUCUUAAAAAAUCUCAGUUUAGAAACUUAGUGGAAACUCGUGUUUCUGUUUUGGAAACUCGUGUUUCUGUUUUGGAAACUCGCAUUUCUGUUCUGGAAACGCUAGAACUUUCCGGAAUUGAUUAUGAUUUGCUGUUAUGAUUUUUAUUUUAGUUAAUUUAUUUAAUAUUUAAGUACUUGAUUUUUGUUAUUUUAAACUUUUUAUAUGAUUUUGAUAUUUAAUGAUGACUUUUUCGUAUGAUUAAAUAAAAUAGCUAUUUGUUUAUUUGUAUUCUAAGAUAUACUAAACAUAAUAUUAAUUAGUUACAUCUAUAUAUAUAUAUAUAUAUAUGUGUGUGUAUUUAUAGACGUUUGUAAAGCGUUUCCAAAGCAAAAAAAAUCAAAAAUCACGUUUCUACGUUUCGAAACGUUUCGUCUCUGCGUAUCUGUUUCCGUUUCCAUGCAACCUAGGUGGAUACAAAUUGUAUUAUUCAAAAGUUUACAAGGCAAACACAACAUUAUGAUGAUGUCCAUUAAAUUGUGGAGUUAUAUUUAUUUUAAUAUAAUGUAUAGAAAAAAGAAUAUAAGUUUCUCUGCAAAUUGAGCAUCCACAUGCUGCCAUGCUAUGCCUCUCCACACGCGUGUUUGAGACCCAAACAAAAGUACGGCAUAGUUUAAUCUCCCUAAAUCAAAAUUAAAUGCGUUGAUAAAAAAAAUAUUAAGGAAAACUAACAGUAACAACCUUCUCAUAUUUUUUUCUUGUUACAUAAAUCCAUACUGAUUUACCGGUUUACCAUGAUCAAAUUUCAAUAGACUAAUAUUUGAGAUUUUUACAAGACAUUUGGUCAUCGUAGAGUUGGAAGGCCAAAAUUUGAGUUUUUACAAUUCGAUUUGCGGUCACAGUUCUCCACAAAAUGAAUUAUUAGCAAGUUUCUGUAAUUUUUAUUUUUAAAUGUCAAACAUCAAUGAGUUGUUAGAAGGGUUCAUUAAACUCAACAUCACAAAUUUUAAAGAAAAUCAUUUUAUAGUAUACAAUGUAUUUACCAUUUAUGUAUAUAAUUAAUUUUGAUUUUUUUUUUUUCGAAACAAACUAGCUAGCAACAAUUAUACUAUUGAAAAGAGGUCGAUUAGUUGUAGAUUUAUAUAGCUUUCUGGGAUUUUCAGUUAGUUUUAUACAGUUAGAGGCUGCAUUAAUAAGUUAGGGGAAUUUUUAAACAUAACUUCGUUUGAUUUUAGCAUAUCUGUUCGAGUUUACGUAAUACGUACGUACACUUAAAUAAUUUUUCUACGAAAAAAAUAAAAUUCUACUGAUCAACUUUAUUGUGCAGUCAUUUAGCAUUAAAAAAAACUUUAUUGUGCAAUAAAUUCUCGGACAUAAUUUGAGAUUCAAGCUAGUUUGGGCUUGGACUAAAUAAAAUAGCAAUGGGCCAUUUCUAUAAGCUCACUGAUAAAUACCAAAAUUAAUUAUUCUCGGGACCAUUUAGGAUUGCGUCCCCCCACCCACCAUGUAGAAACUGUUUUCAUAAAUUCGGGUAAUCUUUAAACUUAAUAAUACAUGAUUUACGUCUUCCACAUAUAGUUAGAGUGGCAGGAAAAUCAAAGUAGCGCCUAAAUCUUUAUUGUUGGGUCGCAAAUGUGCAAGGAAAAUGGACAUUGAGAUGCAACGCAUGAUAGUUGAUAAAAGGUUAGUUUUAGAACCAAAUAGAUAAGGGGAAUCUAUUAGGAAAAUCAUAUAUGUUCUAAAGCACAUUAGAAAUAUAUAACUCCCUGAAGCAGGCGAUUCAACCGGGAAAAGAAAGCCCUCGCCUCUCUGCAGGUGACGCCGAGAUAAAGGCUUGUCCUCAAGCCCUCGUGAACAUCAUAGGAAGCAAGAAAGAGAAAUACAAACGAGAUAAAUCGCUAUGGUUUUUGUCUCUCAAACUAAGGAACAAAGGUUCUCGGUGGCUUACCUCGAAACCACCUUUCACUCGAUUUGAGAGGUGAAGCUUUGUGGAGACCUCAGACAAGCCGCUAGUGAAAACCUACUAGAGCGAGACGACAGGUGCAUGAACGACGACGGUGGCGAAUGUUCCGGCGGUCCUGGAUCUCAAAGCUGACCCAGCUUUGAGCUUUGAGUGAAGUCGGUGACUAACAUGAGAUCCAAGGUCCGAGAAAUAACUCAUAUUCUUCUCGCUUUGCCGGUGGUCCGGAGGUAACCAAAAAUGCCUUUGAAAACCGACUAUCCGGUGGAGAAACGACCGGAUCCAGAGUCACCAAACAAGGAGAAAAUAGGUGAAUCGAUCAACAAAGGGUGAGGUGGAGAUGGACAAAGCGGGAGACUCGUGGGCCCUCUCACAACACCAUGCCAUACAGCGACGGAGAGGCUGAGCAGGAGGCAAGAUUAAGAUCGCAGAGUCUUAGACUAUCUCCAACCCAUACCUAUUUUUUCCUCUAUAAUUUCCACAAAAAUAGAGUAACUCUAUUAUAGAGUAAGUUUUGCUCCAAUGGUUUACUCUAUAAUAGAGUUACUCUAUUAUAGAGGGGAAAAUAGAGGGAUUUCAUUUUUUCACUCCAUAUUAGUAACUCUAUUAUAGAGUAAACCAUUGGAGCAAAACUUACUCUAUAAUAGAGUUACUCUAUUUUUGUGGAAAUUAUAGAGGAAAAAAUAAGUAUGGGUUAGAAAUGCCCUUAGAGAAUGAUAAAAAAAUUUAGGGGUGUGUUGGGUCACGCGCGGGAUUCUCUUCUUGAGACACUGAUUAAGUUCUUAUGUGUAUCGUGUACAUGAUGGUAGUGCUCAUAAACAAUUAGCCCCUACUGCUUGUAGACAGAAUUGUGGUGGAACGAUCACUCCUCAGAGGCGGAUCUAGAAAAUAUUUUGAGUGGGGCAUAAAUUAUUUAAUAAAAAAUAUUUUUACUUAAUAAUAUUAUAUAAAUAUUUUCUUUAUUUUUAAUAAGGAUAACAUAUAGAAAAUAAAAUAAAUUACUAAAAAAAGGUAACAAAAACAUGUUUGUAACUAAAUGAAAAUUAAGAAAGAAAUUACUAACAAAAUACACAUGAAAGUACUAGAAUCUAAACUAUUAAAGCAGAAUCCCAUCAUGCCCUUAUAGUUUCAAUUUAUUUACAAUGGCAUGCCAUUGCUUAUUUUUAGGAUUUUUUAAUUAAUUUCGUCUAUUAAAUAAGGAAACAAAUUUUUUGAAAAUAAUUUUGUUUACAUAUACAAGUUUAUUAAAUAAUGGCACAAAAAAUAAAAAAAUAAAGGUAAAUUAAGAAAAUGAGACCAUGAUAUUGUUUUGGUAUGUUAGUCAAGAAAGGUAAAGAUACAAAUUUAUUCUUGAUAAUUUAUUUUGAAAAAAAAAAACUAUUUUUUUUUAUUUUUAUACUUAUAGAUUGUUUCAUUCAGAGUCAGAUUCACUCACACGAAUUAAAAUAAUUCAUCAAUAGGUUUUGGGUUAUAUGAUCUUAUUUUGAUCAUUAAACAAAUCAAGACCAAUGCAAAACAGAAAAAAAAAACGAAUAAUUUUUUUACCUAUCAAAAUUUACUUAUGUGAUUUGAAGGUGUGAUCUACAACACAGUGAACUUCUCUUUAAAUCCAAUAUCUAGGUUCCAUCUAUUAACAAAUUACAAUUAUAAUUUAUCUUCUUUUCUUAUAAACAUAUACAAUCAUCUCCUUUUAUCAAAAACAAAUCAUCGCAACUAUAAAUGUAACUAAGUUAUAAAUAUUUUAAACACACAUAUAUCUUUUCAGUAAAAAAUAUAUCCUUUCAAUAGAAUUUUUGAAAGUAAAUAAAUACUGUGCUUUUAAUGCGCAAUCAAAAUCUAGUAUUUGUUUAAAACAAAAUAUUUUAAAAUAAAAUAGUUUUUGAUGAAAAAAAUCAGGGAACAAAAACUGUAAAAGGGAUAAAUACAACACGUGGAUAAAGAAGGAAAAUUAGAGAAUAAAAGAAAGAAAAAAAUCAGUUAAAAAAUGGCCGGAAGGGCUUCGUACCCGAGUUUGGAGGGGGCAGAAAGAGGGAUUUAACCAACUCAGCUACAUAAACUAAAGUAAUCCUUUUGUACUUUUAAUUAACUUAUAGAAUUUACUGAGGACAGCUGCCCUCCUCCUGUAAAGGAUAGAUCCUCCCCUGUCACUACUAAUCCAGUCAGCGGGCCGUGAAGACUAAAUUGAGCAAGUAAUGAAGGCCAGACGAUAUGCUGACAAAAACGCUUCCCAAAUAUUUACGUAUUUUAUGCUUUGUGAGACAAAUAAAAAGGGGUUCUGAUGAAGACAAAAAAAGAUGUAAAGACAAACUAACUAGUAGAAUUACUGUUAGGCCUCCUAGAUUUACUAACCUUUAUCAAAUGAAUUGAGAGAGUUAACCAAUAAACACAUUAGGUGAUAAAUACAGUAGCCAAACGUGGCCAUAGUUGAUUAGUUGUCACUAAAUGUUACAUAAUGUUGAUGAUUAUGGUCCCUCUUAAUGGAAAAUGACCAACAAUUAUUUUGGAAACAAACACUUCUAUAACAAUAUGUAAUUGUUAAAUUCAAAAAGUUAAGAGGGAGAAAAACCACUAAAGCUGCACCCUCUAGUUCACACCAGAGAAUGCUAUAAGUCGUCUCUGAUGGAGUCUUUCUUUAACCCUUUCCUCUGGCCACCGACAAAGUUGAACAAGUGGGGGCGUCAUGACUCUUCUCAAGUCCUCUUGUCACAUCAGCACCAACAUGAUCAUGACACGUAGUCUUUGCAUGUGUCUGAUUGGUCACAAAGUCAAUGCCCUCACUAGAUCGCAUGACAUCCUAACUUAAUCUCCAAGAAAUGAUCUCGACCGUUACUUCUCCACCAUUGCUGACCACUCACAAAGUUUAGCCAUCUAACAGCAGUUUGAAAUCAUCUCAACCGUUGUCUAUCCUCUUAAGAAACGAUCUCAACCGUUGUCUUUUUUCUUACAAAUGUCUCACCUAACCUAAUAAUGUAGUAUAUUUGCCGUUUAACGAAAUUGAUUUUCCAUGGAGUUGUAUAUAUAUACACACACUCCUAAUAUAAUUUCCCACUAAUCUCCGAUCGCCUCAUGGCGACGGCAAGAUCACCCUCGUCUUUCUCCCCUCACAUUUUCUUCUCCAUUUUCAACAGACGACGUACCAACCUGUAUCCCUACGCACGGCCUAGAUAAACUCGUCAUCAUACCACGUGCCGCGGAGAGAAAGCAUGACGAUUCGUCGAUCUCACCUCUCGUUUUCUUGCCGAGAUCAUCAACUCCGACAAAAUGAAGGUCCAUGGGGAAUUGCACAUCAACGCAAAUCAGGUUACAAUGCUGGAGCGUCGCACACCUCCCCAUAUUUGAUGCGGCGUCUUUCUUGAAAGAGCUGGCACUGUAGAUGGUGGGAAAUGCCGCGACCCUCACGCAUCGUAGUUUGAUUCUUGGUGACGUGCUAUUUCUUGUAGACUUACAUCUUGUCGGAGUUUAUGAUCUCUGCGCGCAAACGAGUUACGUGAUCGACGGUAAGUCGUGAGCUUCCGCCGCCGCUGACUCCAUGGAUGCUGAACACGUUUAUCUUUCCGAUUCCAAGGCGCGUGUCUUUGUUACGGCUUGUUUUUUGUUUGUUAUGUUUUUGAAACGAUGUUACAAUGCACCACAGUAAAAUCUACCACACCUAGCAUCUUUUAAUUGUGAUUCCUAUUUGUUAAUUUCAAGAAGCAUCUACAAUCUUGAAUC